AACGCACGAGACCUGCGGACCUGCGGAAGGAUCAUUGCGAGUGAGGGAUGUUUGGUUGGGUGGGGCGGGGGGAGCUGAGUGGUGGCUCUGCUUGGGUAGAGACACUGGACGGUCAAGACCCCUGCCGACCUCACCACAUAUUUGCGCUUGUGUGGUUUGACAGAGUGAACUGUGGGUUAACAUGGACAACUUUUAGCAAUGGAUCUCU
rnacentral:misc_RNA from 1 species